rnacentral:rRNA from 1 species
UGCAGUCACGGGGGCCCAGCAAUGGGUAACCGGCGAACGGGUGCGUAACGCGUGAGCGACCUGCCUUUCUGCGGGGGAUAGCCGGCCCAACGGCCGGGUAAUACCGCAUACGCUGCUUGGGGGGCAUCCCCUGGGCAGGAAACCUCCGGGGCGGAGAGAGGGGCUCGCGACCUAUCAGCUAGUUGGCGGGGUAACGGCCCACCAAGGCGUCGACGGGUAGCUGGUCUGAGAGGAUGGCCAGCCACAUUGGGACUGAGAUACGGCCCAGACUCCUACGGGAGGCAGCAGUGGGGAAUAUUGCGCAAUGGCCCGCAAGGCUGACGCAGCGACCCCCCGUGNGGGGAGGACGCCCCUCCGGGGUGGUAACCCACUGUUGGCCCGGGACGAACACCCCUGAUUUCUUCAGGGCUGACGGUACCCGGGUGGGGGAAGAACCGGCUAAACUCCCUGCCAGCAGCCGCG